rnacentral:sRNA from 12 species
CCUAGCCAGAAAUGGCUGGGCCACACGCCAGUUAAUAGUGUUUGUUAAUUUUAACAAACUAUGAAAUGCAAAUGUGACAUUUAGUAGUGAUGAAGGAACUGAAAGUGAGCUGAGCGAAAUAUGAAGCCUUGGUGAUUUACUUUUAAUUAAUUGGCUACAAAUU